CAGUAGCCGCGGUAAUACGGAGGGGGCUAGCGUUGUUCGGAAUUACUGGGCGUAAAGCGCACGUAGGCUGCUUUGUAAGUCAGAGGUGAAAGCCCGGGGCUCAACCCCGGAUGUGCCUUUGAGACUGCAGAGCUAGAAUCGCGGAGAGGAGAGUGGAAUUCCGAGUGUAGAGGUAAAAUUCGUAGAUAUUCGGAAGAACACCAGUGGCGAAGGCGGCUCACUGGACGCGUAUUGACGCUGAGGUGCGAAAGCGUGGGGAGCAAACAGGAUUAGAUACCCCAGUAGUCCCUGUCUCUUAUAA
rnacentral:rRNA from 1 species